AUUGAACGCUGGCGGCAGGCCUAACACAUGCAAGUCGAACGGUAACAGGAAGAAGCUUGCUUCUUUGCUGACGAGUGGCGGACGGGUGAGUAAUGUCUGGGAAACUGCCUGAUGGAGGGGGAUAACUACUGGAAACGGUAGCUAAUACCGCAUAACGUCGCAAGACCAAAGAGGGGGACCUUCGGGCCUCUUGCCAUCGGAUGUGCCCAGAUGGGAUUAGCUAGUAGGUGGGGUAACGGCCCACCUAGGCGACGAUCCCUAGCUGGUCUGAGAGGAUGACCAGCCACACUGGAACUGAGACACGGUCCAGACUCCUACGGGAGGCAGCAGUGGGGAAUAUUGCACAAUGGGCGCAAGCCUGAUGCAGCCAUGCCGCGUGUAUGAAGAAGGCCUUCGGGUUGUAAAGUACUUUCAGCGGGGAGGAAGGGAGUAAAGUUAAUACCUUUACUCAUUGACGUUACCCGCAGAAGAAGCACCGGCUAACUCCGUG
rnacentral:rRNA from 1 species